CAGCAGCCGCGGUAAUACGUAGGUGGCAAGCGUUGUCCGGAAUUAUUGGGCGUAGAGGGCUCGCAGGCGGUUUCUUAAGUCUGAUGUGAAAGCCCCCGGCUCAACCGGGGAGGGUCAUUGGAAACUGGGGAACUUGAGUGCAGAAGAGGAGAGUGGAAUUCCACGUGUAGCGGUGAAGUGCGUAGAGAUGUGGAGGAACACCAGUGGCGAAGGCGACUCUCUGGUCUGUAACUGACGCUGAGGAGCGAAAGCGUGGGGAGCGAACAGGAUUAGAUACCCCAGUAGUCCCUGUCUCUUAUAC
rnacentral:rRNA from 1 species